rnacentral:rRNA from 1 species
CCUACGGGAGGCAGCAGUGGGGAAUAUUGGACAAUGGGCGAAAGCCUGAUCCAGCAAUGCCGCGUGUGUGAAGAAGGCCUGCGGGUUGUAAAGCACUUUCAUCAGGGACGAAAAACCCGGGGCGAAUACCCCCGGGCCUUGACUUAACCUGAACAAGAAGCACCGGCUAACUCCGUGCCAGCAGCCGCGGUAAUACGGAGGGUGCGAGCGUUAAUCGGAAUUACUGGGCGUAAAGCGCACGUAGGAGGCGAGAUCAGUCAGAUGUGAAAUCCCCGGGCUCAACCUGGGAAUUGCAUUUGAUACUGUCUUGCUAGAGUCUGGCAGAGGUAAGCGGAAUUCCGGGUGUAGCGGUGGAAUGCGUAGAUAUCCGGAAGAACACCAGUGGCGAAGGCGGCUUACUGGGCCAAGACUGACUCUGAGGUGCGAAAGCGUGGGGAGCGAACAGGAUUAGAUACCCUGGUAGUCCACGCCGUAAACGAUGUCAACUAGCCGUUGGACCCGUUUGAGGGUCAAGUGGUGCAGCUAACGCGAUAAGUUGACCGCCUGGGGAGUACGGCCGCAAGGUUGAAACUCAAAUGAAUUGACGG